ensembl:lncRNA
CGCUGGUGCCUCACGUGCACAUAUUCAUUGGAAACAGCAGCCGUUCUGCGUGCCAUUCAGCGUGUGCAGCGGUCCACUUUGCCAUAUUUGUGCUAAUUAUGAUUUUUUUAGUUUCUGUCGAUACUGAAACACGUGUGAACUACAAAGCCUAUUUUACCUAAUGAAUAAUAGUUAGCUUCAAAUGGGCAACAUUACGAAUAUGGAAACAUUUGGAUUUGUCUUGAAUGAGAGAGGUAAGUCCAAUCUCACUUUAUAUUUCGCUUUAAAUUAUUAUAUAUUAUUUUAUUUUUAUAGCUAAGCCUAUAUUAUUAUUAUACACUGCAAUUAUAUUUAUCCAUUAGAAUUAUAUAAUUUUAAUUGGAUGUGCCCUUUUCUCUCCCGUGGAUCAUUAAAAGCCUUUUUGUCAUUUCCUUCAUCGUGCGCCUUGAUUAACACACCAGCACCCGUAACAGAAUCACAGACCCAAACAGUUUAGCUGCGUUUUUCUUUUUGUGUUCUUUUUGUUUUCCCCCCCUCUCCGAAUGGAUAUCCCAGCAGUCCAACUCCUGUGCCUGGAGCAACUGGACCGUUCGCUGGAGGACCAUACUAGGGACUUUCUCGAUCUGGCAAGCCUUACCCACUUCCCCGACCGUUCGCUCUCUAAUUUCUACUACACCUGAGCGAGCGGUGUAAUGCACGCCUACCAGCGAACGGUCCCAGAGAGGAUUUCGCCGCUUUCGUGGAGUGGGUGCUGGAGAAAAAUGGAUCCCCAUUUACCAUCUGCACCGCCGAAGAGGAUAUCUCCAGCCCCACUCCCGAACCAGAGACCAGCCAGCCACCAUCCCGCUGCACGGAGCUAGAGCCCACCGCAGCUGCAGAGCCCGAGCCUAUCACCGACAGGGAGCAGGAACUCGAGAUCGCGACUGACCAGGUGUGUGAGCCGGCAACACCGUGCGUCGUGGGAUGAUUGGUGGAGAUCGAGGGCUUGGAGGAAAGCCCUGCUCACACUCCUGCGCCUGAAGGUGAGCUGCAUUUGGUUUCUGGGAAUUAUAGAGAGGAAUUAUUGGAUCUUAUAGACUGGUUUGGGGAGGCAUUUCCCGAUCCUCCUGUUUCUCCGCUGGUUCCAUCCAGCCCUGAUCCUCCUAGACCAGCCAGUUCCUCGACCUCAUCUCCGCUGGUGCCAGUCAGUCCCGCAGCUCACCCUCAGUCCGCGCCAUCUGGGCGCGAUGGUUCGCCGCAGGACUUCCAGUCUCCAGCUCCGCCUUGGCGUGUGGAUUCCCUGUCUCCGCCUCCAGCCUCCGAGCCCUGGACUCCUCCUCGGUCCUUCGACCCGGCGGCUCCACCUUGGCUCUUAGCUCCCUCGUAUCCGCCGUGGCCCGGCAUCCCACCUGCUCCACCGGGCUCCCUCAUCCCUCCGGCUCCACCUUGGUCAGUCGUCGACCAUCCGCCGCCUUGGGACUCCAUUCCUCUGGCUUCGCCUCGUCACUCCAUCCCUUCGGCUCUGUCAGGUUCCUCCUUCCCUCCGGCUCCACCUCCAUCCUCAGUCACUCCGGCUCCGCAGCGGUCUUCUGGUGCCCCGCCUCCGCCUUGGUCGCCUGAGCCUUCUGCUCCUCCUUGGCCCUCCGGAUCCUCGGCUUCACCCUGGCUCUGCGGCUGCUCUGCUCCAUCUUGGGCUCCUCACCCACCGGCGCUGUCUCCAUCUGUCGGCCCCCUGGUGUCGUCAGCUCCUCCUCCACCAUGGCUCCUCCCGCCGUCGACUCCACCGUGGAUCUCCAUCCUGGCUGGUCUCUGCAGCACCAUCUGGCUCCUCCUGCUCCGGGCUCCUCCCUCCAUCCACUCCGCCCUGGUUCCUAGCUCCUUGCUCCCUCUUCGCCUGCCCCACGGCCACCUCCAGAACCCCCACCCUCCCUCCGCUGGUAUUCCUCUUGCGGUGCGAGGACGCACCGUUCCGGGAGGGGGCGAACUGUUACAUUCAGUGACUGUCAGUUUCCUUAUUUGGUCUUUGUCCUGUUCUAGUUUUGUUAAUUGAUUAAUCCCCACCUGUCUCCAUUUCCCUGAUUACCUCCUGUCUCCUUAAAUACCCUGUCUGUUUAGUUCUUCCUCGUCCGUGAUUAAUGUUAUAGUGUUGUAGUAUUGUUCAUGUCUAUGUUGGAAGAUUUGUGUUGGAUGUGCCCUUUUCUCUCCCGUGGAUCAUUAAAAGCCUUUUUGUUAUCUCCUUCAUCGUGCGCCUUGAUUAACACACCAGCACCCGUAACAGCUCUGUUCUGAUAGUUAAAUUUAAAGGAUUUGUUGUAAAGUGAGGAGAACUAAAAAUAUCCUGUUGGUACAUUAUAACUUUAUUAGGCCUGCCGUUAUUAUUUCUGAAUGUAAUAAAAUGCGACUUAUACACGACUUAUAUAUUUUU